CUUUCACCCAUUGUGCGGACGGCAGUAGCGAGACCCCUCCCCUCUCGUGAGAUAUCAUCUUGGACGUGUUGAUCAACUGAGUAACAAGUAACAAAUUCUACCGAGCAAACCACAGGUCGUUAGGUGAUUGGAACAGGAGCUUGUUGGCUGGAAAGCAAGAGUGGUCAUGGUCAUGCUGAUGAACUUGUUUAUCAAACACUUAUUUAUUACGUUCGUUUAGUAUUUACUUUAUGGUAUCUUUACGCUUCCGUUGAACUUAUGGUUUUGGAUAACUUAUGUUGGGAUUUCAGUAUUAUUAAACAAUGGAACUUCAUUUU